rnacentral:lncRNA from 1 species
UUCUUUUUUGGGAUUCAAGUCAGUUCGUGUUAUUAUUUCUUUCUCGGGAUUCAAGUCAGUUCGUGUUAUUAUUUCUCAUUAUUGAGUUGGUGUGGCUCAUUAUUGAGGUUCGAUUCAAGGUUCUUCGGUGCGCGGAUUCCGUCUUUUGAUUGACUGAUAUUUGGAAUAAAGUCGUCAUCGAGGUCUAAUUCUACUCUUUACCUCUUUUGUUUUAUUGUUGAUGGUAUCCGAUGCAUUGAUUCUAAUAUUGUGUGUUGGUUUAUUCGUGAUGAUGUGAAUUGUUGUUGUUCUGGUUUGGUAUUUUAAUUCCCUUGAUUGUGGAUUGAUUAUGGAUUAUGUGAUGAGAUGAUAUCUUGUUUGGAGAAUUAAGAUUGAUUGUUUGGGGCAGAAUUAAAAUUGACAAAAGUGAACAUUAGUUUAUGUUGAUUCAUUGAUAGUCGCUUAAUUCAAGAUAAGCAUCGACUUGAUUAAAUUGAUAGUGUCACGAUUUUAGGUCGCUAAUUGAACAUGCACAUGGUAGGUUCGGGUAGGAAAAUUUAGGCAUGGUGGAUUGAAGACAUGUUUGAAAUAUGUGUUGGAAUGGUUUUGUUUUUUUUGUCGCAUUUAAUUCAAUUGUAUAAUUUGGCCGGGGAAUGCCCCGAAGUAUCUGUAUAUAUUUAUUCACCGGGGAAUGCCCCGAAUU